UGACAGCAUGCAAUGGUUCUACAAGGUCGUUGGUAUGCUACCAGACUACUCUGCCCCACACGGAGAGUCGGAGUACAAGCGUUCACGCUGCCAGCCAAAGCAAAGCAGUAGAGCAGGAGAUGAGGAGAGAAAGAAGGACUACGUUAGACAUAACUUAAAGAUCCAAGCGACUGCAAUGAGCUCCCCCUACAAACUAUCGCCUUCUAGGACAUUGAUUGCGAAAUAGAACAUCUACUGUGUGUUAUUAAGUUAUGUACAGGAAUAAUAUCUAUCAGGCGUUUAUCAUAUGCAAAUGAUGCAAGCACUGAGUUCUUUUGAUAUUAUGAGCCCUUGAUACAUCUUUAUAUAUAUAUAUAUAUGAUAGGUCUAUAUAUAUAUUCACUAAUUAAUGUUCGUUUAUAUAUUUCUGUUAGACAUUAUAUAUUGAAUUAGCAUGAUAAGAUACACAGGAAAUGCAUAUUAAAAUGUCUAUACAUGAUGUAAUUUUUAUGAAUAAACUAAAACAGAGAUAUCACAAUCACA